AAGAAAAAAACGUUACACGUAAAAAUCGUAAUAAGUUUACUAGGAAAAAACGUGUCCGCGGACUAGAACAAAGAACACAUAGAAGUAACAGAAGGAAUAGACGGCGUUGUAAAACGAAUAGCCGCACACCGGUACGCUCGGAAUCUAAAAAGAGGUAGACGUAGUUCGCACGUGGGCGGGCCACUGUUUCGGGUAAGUGGGGAGUGGGAAAAGCGGAACGGCAAUGGUUCGGUGCGUGUAUCUGUAUCGCGACAAAUGACCGAUGCCAACGAAAAACGAUUCCGAGCGGUGUUCGAUCGAUGGCGCUGCGUUGUCCACGGUAUAAAAGGGGGGGGGGAAAUAAAUAAAACACAAACCGAGGGGCC